rnacentral:rRNA from 1 species
UACGUAGGGGGGCAAGCGUUUGUCCGGAUUUAUUGGGCGUAAAGAGCGUGUAGGCGGUUCGGUAGGUCCGUUGUGAAAACUCGAGGCUCAACCUCGAGACGCCGAUGGAAACCAUCGAACUAGAGUCCGGAAGAGGAAAGUGGAAUUCCUGGUGUAGCGGUGAAAUGCGUAGAUAUCAGGAGGAACACCGGUGGUGUAGACGGCUUUCUGGACCGUAACUGACGCUGAGACACGAAAGCGUGGGUAGCAAACAGG